AUUCUCGCCUGCCACGCGGGAGGCCCGG
rnacentral:piRNA from 6 species